rnacentral:misc_RNA from 1 species
AGAGAUGUGUUCAGACUGGCUAAAGAAAAUGCCCCAGCAAUUAUAUUUAUAGAUGAAAUAGAUGCUAUAGCAACUAAACGAUUUGAUGCACAAACAGGAGCUGACAGAGAGGUACAGAGAAUUUUAUUAGAACUACUCAACCAGAUGGAUGGGUUUGAUCAGACUGUCAAUGUUAAGGUGAUAAUGGCCACCAAUCGAGCGGACACCUUGGAUCCUGCUCUUCUGAGACCGGGCCGUCUUGACAGGAAGAUCGAGUUUCCGAUUCCUGAUCGACGACAGAAACGACUCAUCUUCUCCACCAUCACCAGUAAAAUGAACGUGAGCGAGGAGGUGGACCUAGAGGACUAUGUGGCCAGGCCAGACAAAAUCAGUGGGGCCGAUAUCAACGCCAUUUGUCAGGAGGCUGGUAUGCAAGCAGUGAGAGAAAACAGAUAUAUAGUGCUUGCCAAAGACUUUGAAAAGGGUUACAAGAACAAUAUUAAAAAGGAUGAAACUGAACACGAGUUUUAUAAGUAACUCUCUCAUAAACAUUUGUAAAAGACAUGUUUGUUGAAAUAAAUUCUCUUUGUAUACACC